AUUGAACGCUGGCGGCAGGCCUAACACAUGCAAGUCGAGCGGAUGAAGGGAGCUUGCUCCUGGAUUCAGCGGCGGACGGGUGAGUAAUGCCUAGGAAUCUGCCUGGUAGUGGGGGAUAACGUCCGGAAACGGGCGCUAAUACCGCAUACGUCCUGAGGGAGAAAGUGGGGGAUCUUCGGACCUCACGCUAUCAGAUGAGCCUAGGUCGGAUUAGCUAGUUGGUGGGGUAAAGGCCUACCAAGGCGACGAUCCGUAACUGGUCUGAGAGGAUGAUCAGUCACACUGGAACUGAGACACGGUCCAGACUCCUACGGGAGGCAGCAGUGUGGAAUAUUGGACAAUGGGCGAAAGCCUGAUCCAGUCAUGCCGCGUGUGUGAAGAAGGUCUUCGGAUUGUAAAGCACGUUAAGUUGGGAGGAAGGGCAGUAAGUUAAUACCUUGCUGUUUUGACGUUACCAACAGAAUAAGCACCGGCUAACUUCGUG
rnacentral:rRNA from 1 species